AGCGAACGCUGGCGGCAGGCCUAACACAUGCAAGUCGAACGAACCUUUCGGGGUUAGUGGCGGACGGGUGAGUAACACGUGGGAACGUGCCUUUAGGUUCGGUAUAACUCAGGGAAACUUGUGCUAAUACCGAAUGUGCCCUUCGGGGGAAAGAUUUAUCGCCUUUAGAGCGGCCCGCGUCUGAUUAGCUAGUUGGUUGAGGUAAUGGCUCACCAAGGCGACGAUCAGUAGCUGGUCUGAGAGGAUGAUCAGCCACAUUGGGACUGAGACACGGCCCAAACUCCUACGGGAAGCAGCAGUGGGGAAUCUUGCGCAAUGGGCGAAAGCCUGACGCAGCCAUGCCGCGUGAAUGAUGAAGGUCUUAGGAUUGUAAAAUUCUUUCACCGGGGACGAUAAUGACGGUACCCGGAGAAGAAGCCCCGGCUAACUUCGUG
rnacentral:rRNA from 1 species